CUGAAUUACUCUCGAUUAUUUCCUCCCAUAGCCCAACUGUUUAGUGACCAGCAUGUGAUAGACUCCCUUUUUGGCUAGCAGCUGCUGGUGCGUCCCUUGUUCAACCACCACCCCUCCCUGAAAGACAGCGAUGCGGUCUGCGUUUUGGAUGGUGGACAGACGGUGGGCUAUAACAAUACACGUCCUGCCCUGCCUCGCUUUGUCCAACGCCUCUUGCACCACCUGGAUCAAGCACAAAUUGUGAGGACAAAAGUCAAUGUGGAUGCACAUCAGACAGCCAAAUGUGGAGCAAUUCCACAUGAGAAGAAAAAGCCCACCUUCUCACUCUCAGUGUCGAGUGCAGACGUGGCCUCAUCCAGAAGCAACAGUUUGGGGUUACGAAGGAUGGCUCGAGCUAUUGCUAUUCGUUGUUUUUGACCACCAGACAGCUGGGUCCCCUUAUCGCCUGCCUGAGUGUCGUACUUCUGCUCGAGUAAACGUCAGUCCGUGGAAUAUGAAGCGAUGUUUUCAGCCAAGCUGCAGUCAAAGAGCACAGGCUCCUGGGACACAAUACCUAUCUGAGACCUCAGCCAGUGGAUGUUCAGCUCUUUCACGCUUACAGAAUCAAACCUCUGGAUGACAAAAUCAUAAAAAUGUGACUGAAUAUAUUGAAGCCAAUUCUCCCAACCAAGACCGUGGAAAGCCUGAAGUAAUUUGUUCCAUAUGACAAGGUAGGCUAAAAUAACCCAGAUCAACUGUCAAGUAAAGCUUCAAAGUCCAAACAAUGCAGAGGUUAUUUGAAUGAAGUUUGAAUUAAGCAUUUGUCAUCGGUGCAGCUCAAGAAAUGGGUGUACGUAAUUGUCUUCUCACCAUGUUCCCUUCCUUGGUGUCAUAGAACCUCUCCAGGAGCUGGAUAGUGGUGCUUUUUCCACAGCCGCUGGUUCCUAAUAGGGCCAGUGUCUCCCCUUUGCUCACCUUCAAAUUCAGCCCUCUGAGGACGGGUACAUCAGGGCGUGUCGGGUAAUUAAAUGUAACAUCCUCCAAGUGCACAUUCCCAUCAAAUUGGUCCUGGAGUUUUAAGGAAGGAGACACCUACUUUAUUAAUACUGUAGGCCUGUAAAUGGCAUUGGAGAAUACUGGUUGGCAACCUUUUGCUGCUUACCAAUGACUGUCCAUCAUGUGAGAGAUUAUCAAUAGCAGGCUGUGUGUUCAGAAGCAUCAUGAUGUGAGCAGCUGAUAUUUUGGCAUUUGCAUAGUUUGGAGCAAGGGAAUGGGCCUCUCCAACAGAUAUUGAACCAUAUAUAAUUGACAGGAUCACUCUGAAAUAUGAGGCCAGUUUACAUAUGAUCAAAAUAUCAAAGAUGAACCCAUAAGGAUUAUGUGUACAUGUCAUUUUCAUUUUCUUGUAAUUACAGGAACUAUCUAGAAGUACAUAAGGAAAAGAGAAUUUGAUCGUGGUGGGGCACAAUAUUAAUAUUACACUGUGUGGUAUCGCUAUCUUAAGUGUGAAUGCAUCAGCAUUAAAUUGUCGCUUUCUGUUGAAAACCAAAUACAAAAUUCUCAAUAUCGUC